rnacentral:lncRNA from 1 species
CUCUGUCUAAUAGGUCUGGAUCCUGAUCACUGCCCCGUGAACAGGUGCUCUGUCAUGAUUUCAGCUGGGACAGAGCUGAUUUUCUUCAUAGUAUCUGCUGUGUGUUUUGGAUUUAGGAGAAUCAUGGAAUUGUGGAAUUGUUAGAUUUGAAAGGAACGCUAAAAGUCCAUCUAGUCCAAAUUCCCUGCAAUAAACAGAAACAUCUACAGCUAGAUGAGGUUGCCACAGAGCCUGCUCCAGCCUGACCUUGAAUGUUGAUAACGCAGUAAUGUUUUAGUUUUUGCAGAGCUGUGCUGCCCAGUGCUAUGGACGUUUCAGCUCUUCACAGUGCCCUGCCAGUAAAGAAACUGGGGAUGCACAAGGAGAUGGGAGAGGACAGACCCAGGAGAGCUGACCCAGGCUGGCUGAAGAGAUUUUCCUUACUAUGUGGCAUCAUAUGAAGUUAUAAAACUAGGGGAGUUGGCCAGAUUGUGAGCCCUAUUUCUAUAGAGGAUGCUGAUAGGCCUUUACAAGCUGAUCAACAUGAUAGCAUAUCUAUCUGUAAUGGAGGCAAGACUACACAGCCGAUUUGUACAUAUACUACAAGACAUUGAUUGAAUACUUUGUCCUGAAGUAUAAGCAAGAGGAAAGGAGGUCUCUUUUGCUUUAAAUUGUAAUUAAAAGUGAGUGAGGAAUGACUGAGGAAUAGGGGAGGUUGAAGGCUUUGUUUUCUUACCAUAUAAAAUCUGAAGCUCAAAAAUAUUCUUUUUCUCUUUUCUAUUUUUCAGGGUUAUUUUUAGAGUAAGCAAUAACCCUGUGGUGAUACGAGUGUUUUUUUGUGAUGAAGUGCUGAGACAUUUGGGGUUUGACCAGAAAUUCAGUCUAGGCUUCAGAACCUAUUGUGAAAAUCUCUUGUUGAGUUGCGGUUGGUUUUGAUAUGAACAUUUUCCAUAAAGGAAUGUAACAGUCCACUUUUAUUUUGACCCUUCUUCAUUUUCCUUAUGACCUCUCACUCUUACCAAGAUGGAUGCUCAGACACUGACUUCUACAGGUCAAGAGGAAACCACAAAAACUGUCCCUAUGCUAUUUGUUUAACCACUUCAGAGAUUUAGAAGAGAAUACGUCCAUUCGUACAAGUCAUGCUGGCUCUUUCAAAUCAGAUUGCAUUUGUCCAGGAAUUAGGUAAUGCUGUUCUUGCAUUCAUUUGUUUGGGUUUCUGCUAAUUUGCCUAGUGCAGGUGUACCAGUACUUUACCCUAGAGUUCCCAAGGUCUUUCUCAAAAAGAAGUGUGGUUUUCACACCUGAGGUACGAAAGCAGUUUUAAACAGGCACUUGCCCACUUAUAGGGGUUGAUAGCUCACCUAUAUCAUCCUUGAUUUCUCCUAGAACUUCUCAGGGAAUUAUGGGGAUGCGUUAAGAGUUUGUUCAGUAACUUCUACAGUCACUUAAAGUUUAAGACAUCUCCUGCUCCUUAUUCUCCACUAACGAGUUCCAGCACAGAAAUCUCCCCAGCUUCUUCCACAGCAAAUACUUACAAAAGGAAUCCAUUUAACUUCUUUGCAGUGGCUUGGCCAGGGCUUUCCCUCCUAGAGAUGUCUGAUCUUUAUUUUUAAAGUGUGUUGAGUACUUUGACUCUUUGGAGGAAUAGAAGUCACAAAUGUCAGGAAGAUCAAACAAAAAGGAUAGACAGGAAGAGCUGCAGGUGUCUUUAAUGUACUGAAUACCCUGAGGACUCAAGUACAGUGUGGUAUCAAAUAAACCUUACAUCAUAUGAAUCAAAAUGGGUAUGGACUCAGAGCAGCACUCUGGCUACUCUCUGGGUAUGUGCCUGUGGGUAAAUUUUUACCUGUCAUGUCAAAAUUUGGUGGCUCUCUUGUGGACAUAUGCCUGGGUGGUAAUCAGAAUAGUUGUAAUUUCAUAGACUACUCCACCUAGUGACUUUUUUUUUCAUGUGUGUACACUUGUGUGGAUCCAAAGACUAUAAUUUAUCAGUCUUGAGUGUACGGACAGUUUUAUUGUUUAUACCAACGGAAACAACAUGGCAUCUGUAGCUCUACAAUCAUCUAUAAUUAUUGCCGCAGCAUGUCUCUUCUAUUGUAGAUUGAAAUGCUUGCAAGAAAUUAGUGAAAAAUACACAUUUUUAAGUUUUCAGGUCCAUUUUCUUUAAUCAUCACCUCUACGGAUCUCUUCCACACAGUUUUUUCCAUUCCUGCUGCUUUUAUCUUGGUAGCAUUAUCUGUUUUUGCUUAUUGUUAGUCGUAUGACGGCAACCCGCUGGUUUUUCAAUGGCUUCCAACAGCAUUUAUUAUCUAGCACUGUUCUUCAAUCAGUAGAUCUCAGAAGCACAGUGCACUCAGGGGUACUCAGAUAAUGGGUUACAAUCAACGACAUUACAGAGAUGUGCUCUCCUUUCUUUCUGUAGUACUGAUUUGUGCAUUUGGCAGAGAGUCAUAAUACCAACAUUUGAAGUUGAAAUAGGGCUUUCUCUCUAAGGGUCCACAAAUGAUUUUCAAAGCACUGACGGAUUUGCUCUUUCAGAUGUGCUGGAGAGUUCAGUGUCUCCCAUUUACACUGGGAUUAAUGAUUCCCAUUUUGCAGGCAUGGAACUAAGAUUUCACCUUGUUUUAACAAAUCCGUAAUUGGAAAACAGGUUCUUUAUUUUCUAAGCGUUUCCCAAGAUUCCCUUGAUGGAGGACACACAGGACAGCUGUGGAGCUGGUAGAUUUCCCUGGAGCUGUUUGGAGGCAGAGGUGAAUUCUAUGUGAUGAGAGUGACAGAGUAACUUACUGUCUUUUCAGCUCAUCACAGCUGAAGAAUAAAAAGUCUUCUCCCGCAUCACAAAUCAGUGUAGAAAAGGUGGGUUGGCACACUGACCAGAAGGUAACAGGGUGCACCUUAGUGGGACUGUCUAUCUGAGAAGCACAAAAAGAAGAUGGAAGGCAAGCUGAGAGAUGGAGAAGCCAUGGUGACACAUGUAUGAGAAAUCAUGUUAACAGCAGUGCUGAUUACUGAGAAGCAGGAAAAGCAAUGACAUGUUGUCCUAUUGUCUGACUACCAAACGGUCCUAUUUGUCAGAAAUAUUUAGAUAGUCCUCCUCUACCCCACAGUAGAUUGAAUGUAGCCAGUGUCAACUGGAGAGGUACAGGGUCAAAAGAAUGGCACCUACAGCCAACUGUAAAGGAGGGCAAGGAAGAAGAUGCUGCUUCAGUUAACUCCCUGUUUGCCAGGAGCAAGAAAAAUAGUUUAAAGACUAUUAGGCAGAAGAAGUAAUAUUAAAAAUAAUGCAGGGGGUCUGUUCCACCUUAGAUAUUGGCAAUAUUCUAGCACAGCUCAGGGAAAUUUACCUAAAUACCAAGUGUUCUGCCACUAGUUAACAAAAAAAAGUAACAAAAAAACUUAAUUGAAGUAAUUUUCUGUACCUUCAUAAAAGUUAAUAGUGUACUGAGAAGCUUUCAGGCUACAAGUGUAUUUUAUAUGAAAAUUUUGCUUGGAAAAAUUAGACCUAUUUUAAAAUGCUUACAGAAGGCGAUACUAUUACCUUGUUGCUGGUUUGUUGUCUCAGUGAAUAUGGAAUACUCUUGGUUUAUAAAUUCAUCGUUCAUGCUGAAGUGAAGAGGAAGAACUCUUUCCCUGACUUCAUCGGCCAUUUUAUGCAAGUAACUGAGGAGAAUGCUGAGAUGGAUGUUCAGUUUGGUUCGUUCUGGUAACUUGUUCCAUUUGGAGGUCUGCUCUUUUUAAUUGAUGAAUCAUUAUUCUUUUUUCUCUGCCAAAAAAACAUUCUUCAUUUAACCCCUCAUCCUCUCCCAAUGCCUUGUGGCUUUUCUCUCUAGUACCACUGUAUCUGGUGGUCACUUAGGUACAGUCUCUGGACAGCUGUAGUUCUUACUUUAAAUAUUGUUGUCAGUGUUUGUGAUUUUUAUAAGAAAUGACAGAAACUAAAUGGGAAAAAUUUUCAGGGAGCUGUAUAACCAAUGUCUCUCAUCUGGGUCAGUGUCAGAAACAUCUGCAUUUCUUAAACAUGUCAAAAUAACUUGUCCAUAAAACCCUCCAGCUGACAUUUCAGUAUUUUCACGAGGGUUUAACUCCCUGGAUUACUAUGUGGUGUGCUGAGACUUUCUUAAUAUCUAACCUAAAUUUCCUUUACUGCAAAUCCACUGAAUUAUUAUUCUACUCUUCAAUGACAUUUGAUCACUAUCUUUUUUUUUACAUACACUGUACACUACUUCUAGGAGGAUCUGCUCCAUGAUCUUCCCAGGCACAGAGGUGAGGCUCACUGGCCUGUAGUUCCCCAGUCUUCCUUUCUCCCUUUCUUAAAAAUGGGAGUACUGUUUCCCUUUUUCCAGUCACCGGGGACUUCACCAGACAGCUAUGAUUUUUCAAAUAUGAUCGAGAGCAGCUCGGCAACCACAUCAGCCAUCUCUUUCAGAACCCUGGGAUGGAUAUCAUCUGGCCCCAUGGACUUACACACGUCCAAUUUCACGAGGAGGACUCAGAGUUGUUCCACUGUUACAGUGGGAUGGAAUCCGCUCCCCACACCCUCACCUAGAGUUUCAGAUAAGACAGACUUUCUUGUAGGCUUACUUUCCAGGUGUAUUCUGAGUACAAAAUGGGACUGUACAAAAGGCUUACUAAUAUCAGGGCAGUCUGCAUUGGUAGUUUCUUCCUUUACAUGAGAUUAGUCAGCUUUUCAAAGAAAGAGAUGAAAAGAUUUUUCGCAGCUUGUCCCUGAUAAAUGUAAUAUUGUUAAGGAAGGACCUGCUUUCAGAGUUAAUAACUGCACAGUGACAUCAGUCAAGAUAGUGGAGCAUCACCUUUCUUGGUAAGAAACUAGUAACUUUUAUCCAUUCUCAUCUUCAGACAGAUGUAGUUUUGACAUCCUCCUUCAGCUUAUUUUCUUGUCAGACAUAUACUAGCUGAACUACAGCCAUUUUCUGAAGAUGUUAGCCAGCCCAUAGAUGGUAAUGGAGGAUUUUCUAUUACCUUAGUCAGCCAGCACUCUUACUGAAGCCAAGAGCAGCUGAAAGCAUGUUUCCAUGCCAGCAAAAAAGAAUAAUUACUCACAGAAAAUAUUACAUCCUGACAGUUCCAACUGACAGUCUCCCAGUUCCAACUGACAGUCUCCCAACCCUGUGGCUUGUCUGUUUUAGCCUAUAUUGAUUCAGUUAACAGUUACUUUAUCUUGCAGUAACUGAGGUGGAUAUAAAGCUAUGUUGUCCAUAACAUUAAAUUAUAUAAAUGAUACAAAUGUGUCGAAAAUAUAUUUUUUAUAUUACAGACUUUAUAGUAAUAAAAACAAAUAAGGAAUUAAUGCUUUACAUACCUUUCCUGUUUUCCAUUAGCACAUACUUCCUUCACACAACAGCAGUUGCCCUUCAUUUCGUAUGACAAGAUGUAACAUUAAAGCCCAG